AGGACGAGCGCUGGCGGCGUGCUUAACACAUGCAAGUCGAGCGGAAAGGCCUUUCGGGGUACUCGAGCGGCGAACGGGUGAGUAACACGUGAGUAAUCUGCCCAUCGCUUCAGGAUAGCCAUCGGAAACGGUGAUUAAUACUGGAUAUGACAUUCCUUCGCAUGUUGGGGUGUGGUAAAGUUUUUUCGGCGGUGGAUGUGCUCGCGGCCUAUCAGCUUGUUGGUGGGGUAAUGGCCUACCAAGGCUUUGACGGGUAGCCGGCCUGAGAGGGUGACCGGCCACACUGGGGACUGAGACACGGCCCAGACCUCCACGGGGAGCAGCAGUGGGGAAU
rnacentral:rRNA from 1 species